rnacentral:rRNA from 1 species
GUGAGGAAUUUUCCGCAAUGGGCGAAAGCCUGACGGAGCAAUGCCGCGUGAAGGAUGAAGGCCUAUGGGUUGUAAACUUCUUUUCUCAGAAAAGAAUUAUGACGGUAUCUGAGGAAUAAGCAUCGGCUAACUCUGUGCCAGCAGCCGCGGUAAGACAGAGGAUGCAAGCGUUAUCCGGAAUGCUUGGGCGUAAAGCGUCUGUAGGUUGUUUAAAAAGUAUUCUGUCAAAGAUUAGGGCUUAACCCUAGAUAGGCAGAAUAAACUUUUAAGCUAGAGGUUGGUGGAGGCAGAGGGAAUGCCCGGUGGAGCGGUGAAAUGCGUAGAGAUCGGGAGGAACACCAAAGGCGAAGGCACGCUGCUGGGCCAAUACUAACACUGAGAGACGAAGGCGAGGGGAGCGAAUGGGAUUAGAAACCCGAGUAGUCC